rnacentral:rRNA from 1 species
CGAGUGAAGCGGGAAGAGCUCAAAUUUAAAAUCUGGCAGGCUACGCUUGUCCGAAUUGUAAUCUCGAGAAGUGUUUUCCGCGUUGGCCUGUGUACAAGUCCCUUGGAACAGGGCGUCAUAGAGGGUGAGAAUCCCGUCCUUGACACAGACACCCAAUGCUUUGUGAUACACUCUCAAUGAGUCGAGUUGUUUGGGAAUGCAGCUCAAAAUGGGUGGUAAAUUCCAUCUAAAGCUAAAUACUGGCGAGAGACCGAUAGCGAACAAGUACCGUGAGGGAAAGAUGAAAAGCACUUUGGAAAGAGAGUCAAACAGUACGUGAAAUUGUUGAAAGGGAAACGAUUGAAGUCAGUCGUGCCUGCCUAGUCUCAGCCUUUUGGUGUACUACUAGGUCGGCAGGUCAGAUCAGUUUGGGAGGAUUAACAAGGGAGUUAGGAAUGUGGCAACCUCGGUUGUGUUAUAGCCUAGCUUCGCAUUGAUCUUGCUGGACUGAGGAACGCAGUGCGCCCGCAAGGGUUGGUCUUCGGACACAUUCGCACUUAGG